rnacentral:rRNA from 1 species
GAGGGCUAGGGCUGCUAUACUGCAGUCGACGCUUCUUUUUCCACCGGAGCUUGCUCCACCGGAAAAAGAGGAGGGGCGAACGGGUGAGUAACACGUGGGUAACCUGCCCAUCAGAAGGGGAUAACACUUGGAAACAGGUGCUAAUACCGUAUAACAAUCGAAACCGCAUGGUUUUGAUUUGAAAGGCGCUUUCCGGUGUCGCUGAUGGAUGGACCCGCGGUGCAUUAGCUAGUUGGUGAGGUAACGGCUCACCAAGGCCACGAUGCAUAGCCGACCUGAGAGGGUGAUCGGCCACAUUGGGACUGAGACACGGCCCAAACUCCUACGGUGAGGCAGCAGUAGGGAAUCUUCGGCAAUGGACGAAAGUCUGACCGAGCAACGCCGCGUGAGUGAAGAAGGUUUUCGGAUCGUAAAACUCUGUUGUUAGAGAAGAACUAGGUUUUAGAGUAACUGUUCAUCCCUUGACGGUAUCUAAC